rnacentral:rRNA from 1 species
GAUGAACGCUAGCUACAGGCUUAACACAUGCAAGUCGAGGGACCGGCGCACGGGUGAGUAACACGUAUCCAACCUGCCCUUUACUCGGGGAUAGCCUUUCGAAAGAAAGAUUAAUACCCGAUGUAAAGGAUGGGGAUUCGUUCCAUUAGGUUGUUGGUGAGGUAACGGCUCACCAAGCCUUCGAUGGAGAGGGGUUCUGUGAGGAAGGUCACCCACAUUGGAACGGAAACGCUGACCAAACACCUACGGGAGGCAGAAGUGAGGAAUAUUGGUCAAUGGACGCAAGUCUGGACAAGCCAAGUAGCGUGAAGGAUGACUGCCUAUGGGUUGUAAACUGCUUUUAUAGGGGGAUAGGUACCAUAUGAAUAAGGACCGGCUAAUUCCGUGCCAGCAGCCGCGGUAAUAC